UAUAUAUAGUGUUAUAUAGUGUUAUAUACUCUACACACACAUACACAUAUAUAUAGUGUUAUAUAGUUAUAUAUACACACACAUAUACAUAGUUAUAGUGUUAUAUAUA
rnacentral:miRNA from 1 species